UUUUGAUGGACAGUGGGCUGUUGGCCACCUUCUCGGCAUAGGCAUCCAGCUCGGCUGGGCUUGGGUAGCGGGCGGAGUGCAUGGAGCUGGCCACUGACUCGCCUGCAGGGAGACGGAGGCACAGGUGGGCCUCAAACUUGAUGCAUAUACAAAAAUGACCUUGAACUUCAGAUCCUGCUGCCCCUCUCCCCCAAGUGCUUGGGUCACAGCUGUGUGCCGUCACGACCUGUUACGCGGUGCCUAUAAUCGAACCCAGAGCCUCACGGUGCCAGGCGAGUGCCCGACCAACUGAGCAUCCUCAGCCCCACCCCCACCUCUGGCGACCUAGACCAGCGGGGGCUGGGUGCUCAUGGUGGCUGGCCCGUUAAUACUGUGUGUGGCAUUCUAAAUGGUGAGACUUAACCCACUAUAGGUGGUCACAACUGUCUCGGCCCUGGGGGAGGUGAGUUGCUGGUCCACAGACCCCCCCCUCCUGGCGUCCUGAGCCAUUCCAGACCAGAGCACAGCCCAGAGCUUCCUCUGAGGCAGGGGGACAGGGAGGCACACAGGAAGACCUGUACGGGUGCUGGCAGGGUUGGGGUGGAACCCUGGUUAUGUGGGCCCCAGGCAAGCUGUCUGCUUAGGCACGCUUCACUUCUCCCACUUGUGGAAUGGGGAUAAUAAUGGUGCCGGUCAGCAGGGUGACCUCAGCAGUGCCUGAGGGGCCCAGUGGCGUGAGUCACAGAGUGGGUGACAGGACAUCGUAGCUCCUGGGGGACCUCGGGGCUUCACCAUGCUGAGCCUCCCUUUCCUCAUCUAUAAAGUAGGGCAGUGUUGCUCCUAAGGCUGCCUCUCUCUCUGAGGGUGGCUGUGAGGAGUUAGCAGGUCCGUGUGGAGUAGGCGGUGCCGGAGGAGACCGGUGUUCGAGUCCGGCCCAGGGCAGGGCCUCCUCGGAGGGACAAACCCGCGAGGUCCUUUCAAUUGCAAAGUUCCUAUCUGUUCCUCCCAGGGCCCUGACCAGAGUGGCCCUGGUCCAGCGUCAGUCAGGAUGAUGGUUUUCUGUGUCGGGCAGGCUGGCGGCAGCAGAGUCAGCCUUCCCAGACAGGACUGCCAGGGGCAGCUGGGAGAGGUCGGGCCAGCCGGGGCAGCAGCGCCUGUGCACGUCAGGGCGGCUUCUCGCCACACUGCGCACUCCAAACAGUUGAGGAUACGUGCUUGUCACGACUAGGGGUCUGCAUACUGGUGGCUUCCAGUCGGUAGGCCCUCUCGGCUGCUUCACACCUCACACCCCACAGCACACAGAAGGGGUGAUCUGCCCAGCCCCUCGGGCCAGCAAGGCCCAGGUGCAGCAGGGUAGGAAGAGGAGGUGACAUGGGACAGGGAAGCAUCCCUCUAUCUCCCCAUCCGUCAGGCCUCACCUGGGUCCAGAAGGUAAGUCCACCCCUGACCCUGCUCCGGGCAUCCCCAGCUCCUAAGUGGCCUAAAAUAAACUUGGUGUGGAGAAUGGAAAUGUCACUUUGGCCAACGGGGGAAUCUUUCUCUGCGAUUGGAUUUAAACUACAUUAUACAAGCAAUUUCAUGGGCACUUAGCACCGCUCUGAGAGUCCCACAAAAAAAGGGACCAGCUCUUCAUUUGCCAGCCAUAAAUCAGCAGUUGCUAUAAUGAGCCCAAAAAUGUCACUUUUAUGCAAUUUUACAGAUGAACAAAACUGGUGAAAUUAGCUGUGGAAACCUACCAGACUCAGCAAAAGCAGCUGCCGGGAGGGGAAAAAAAUGAUAGCCGUGUGUAUUUUCGUUCCCCUUAAACUCUCUUUCCAAGCAA